rnacentral:tRNA from 1 species
GACUCCGUGGCGCAACGGUAGCGCGUCCGACUCCAGAUCGGAAAGGUGCGUGUUCAAACAUGUCGGCGUCA